AAGAAACCAGAAUGAGAACUAUCAAAGAAGGAAAAUCUGCUACCUUACAGUAAUGAUGUCUAAUUACCAGCAGCAGUGGAUUACUGCACGGUCAGGAGCAAAUCUCUCUGGCUGACAGCAGAACUGAGCAACAAGCCCCGACACCUCCAGGAGCUGAGAAUCAUUCUUGGAACUGGACUGGAAAGGCUGCCUCGGUGGGUCGCUCGGCGGACAAACAAGAGAGGAAGGCAGGGACUUCACUAACCGUGGUUUUGACCGGCACGAAGAGCACUUGCUUGCCACCUCCACCAUUGACCUCGUCCGAGUGGCCGAGCUGGAAAC